rnacentral:rRNA from 1 species
UACGUAGGUGGCGAGCGUUGUCCGGAUUUAUUGGGCGUAAAGCGCCCGCAGGCGGCUUGGCAAGUUCCCGGUGAAAUCUCCCGGCUUAACUGGGAGAGGUCCGGGAAAACUGCCAGGCUUGAGGCAUGGAGAGGGAUGCGGAAUUCCAGGUGUAGCGGUGAAAUGCGUAGAUAUCUGGAGGAACACCAGCGGCGAAGGCGGCAUCCUGGCCAUGUCCUGACGCUCAGGGGCGAAAGCGUGGGGAGCAAACCGG